GAUGAACGCUGGCGGCGUGCCUAACACAUGCAAGUCGAGCGAAAAGACGAGGAGCUUGCUCCUCUGACGUUAGCGGCGGACGGGUGAGUAACACGUGGAUAACCUACCUAUAAGACUGGGAUAACUUCGGGAAACCGGAGCUAAUAACGGAUAAUAUAUUCAACCGCAUGGUUCAAUAGUGAAAGACGGUUUUGCUGUCACUUAUAGAUGGAUCCGCGCCGCAUUAGCUAGUUGGUAAGGUAACGGCUUACCAAGGCGACGAUGCGUAGCCGACCUGAGAGGAUGAUCGGCCACACUGGAACUGAGACACGGUCCAGACUCCUACGGGAGGCAGCAGUAGGGAAUCUUCCGCAAUGGGCGAAAGCCUGACGGAGCAACGCCGCGUGAGUGAUGAAGGUCUUCGGAUCGUAAAGCUCUGUUAUUAGGGAAGAACAAAUGUGUAAGUAACUAUUCACGUCUUGACGUUACCUAAUCAGAAAGCCACGGCUAACUACGUG
rnacentral:rRNA from 1 species